CCCUUAGAUGUCCUGGGCUGCACGCGCGCUACACUGAUGUGUCCAGUAAGCACCUAACCUAUUCCGAGAGGAGCGGGUAACCUUAGCAAAGCACAUCGUGAUGGGGAUAGAUUAUUGCAAUUAUUAGACUUGAACGAGGAAUUCCUAGUAAGCACAAGUCAUCAGCUUGUGUUGAUUACGUCCCUGCCCUUUGUACACACCGCCCGUCGCUCCUACCGAUUGAAUGUUCCGGUGAGCUCUUCGGACUGCGCGGUCUGCAGUUUCUGCGUUCCGUGCGGAAAGUUGUGCAAACCUUAACAUUUAGAGGAAGGAGAAGUCGUAACA
rnacentral:rRNA from 1 species